CCAUCCAUGCAGAUUUCCUGCUCUCUUUAUUCGAUUUAUUGCCCAAAGGGAUGCACUGUUUUUGACCCUGGAGGAAGUGAUCUUUGAAUAGAAAACAGUUCUCUUGGACCCCUCUUCCUUCUUGGGCCUGUUCCCAUGGAAUUCUUCCAAGAAGGUCCCUGAAGAAGCCAAGAGUUGCUCAAGUGAACUUUUCCAGCAUGUCAGCAAGAUCCAGAAGGUGCAGGAGGGUGAGAAAAUGCUUCUUAUUAAACACCUUUAAACCCUAAACCCAGAUUUGGACAAAAUCUUAGUAAGUGAGGCUGGUUGUGCAAUGAACACUGCACUGACCUUCCAGAUUUAGGACAGGCAUACAAAUCCAGCCUUUGCCAGAGUGAUGGAAAGCAAUUUGGAUCUGAAGGCUAUAAAAGGCAAAGCUGAAAUGAAUUCUGACAAGUCAUAGCUGAAUUCUUCUUGCACAGAAACAGCCAUUCCUUUCUUCCUACCUCUGCCGCCUUUCUCUUUUUAAAUGGUCCAGAAUUGGCUGUUUAAUAUCUGAGAGCUCCAGAGCCAGAGACUGUCGGAAAUGGAAGGAUUUUAUUGAUGCCAGCUGAAGGCGCUCUCAUCAGGUGAAUGGAGGUGUGCUGACAGCCUGUGAGUGUGCAAGUGAGUGACAUUCAAGCCCUGCAUCGAACGGUGACCUUGGAAAAAAGUCUAUGAAGAAAUUAACGGAAGAAUUUCAAAAGGGUUAGGUUUCCAUCCCUGUCAUCUUAUUUCAUGAUACUCACUUAAUAAAUAAAGAGAUAGAUUAAAUA